GACAGAGGAGGCAAGCGUUGUUCGGAAUCAUUGGGCUUAAAGCGCGCGUAGGCGGCCUUGUAAGUGUCUUGUGAAAUCCCACGGCUCAACCGUGGAACUGCAGGGCAAACUGCAAGACUUGAGGUCGGUAGAGGCGGCUGGAACUCUAGGUGGAGCGGUGAAAUGCGUAGAUAUCUAGGGGAACGCCGGAGGCGAAAGCGGGGCGCUGGGCCGAUUCUGACGCUGAGGUGCGAAAGCGUGGGGAGCAAACAGG
rnacentral:rRNA from 1 species